rnacentral:rRNA from 1 species
GAUGAACGCUGGCGGCGUGCCUAAUACAUGCAAGUCGAACGCAUAGCGAAAGGUGCUUGCACCUUUCAAGUGAGUGGCGAACGGGUGAGUACCACGUGGACAACCUGCCUCAAGGCUGGGGAUAACAUUUGGAAACAGAUGCUAAUACCGAAUAAAACUUAGUGUCGCAUGACACAAAGUUAAAAGGCGCUUCGGCGUCACCUAGAGAUGGAUCCGCGGUGCAUUAGUUAGUUGGUGGGGUAAAGGCCUACCAAGACAAUGAUGCAUAGCCGAGUUGAGAGACUGAUCGGCCACAUUGGGACUGAGACACGGCCCAAACUCCUACGAGAGGCUGCAGUAGGGAAUCUGCCACAAUGGGCGAAAGCCUGAUGGAGCAACGCCGCGUGUGUGAUGAAGGCUUUCGGGUCGUAAAGCACUGUUGUAUGGGAAGAACAGCUAGAAUAGGAAAUGAUUUUAGUUUGACGGUACCAGACCAGAAAGGGACGGCUAAAUACGUG